AACAAAAACAUCACUAGAAGAUAAAGACUUUUAGCAAUACCUGCCCAGUGCGAAAUAUUACUGUAAACGGCCGCCCUAGCGUGAGGGUGCUAAGGUAGCGAAAUUCCUUGCCUUUUGAUUGUAGGCCUGCAUGAAUGGUUUAACGAGGGUUUAACUGUCUCUAAAUUUUUUAUUGAAAUUGUACUGAAGGUGAAGAUACCUUCAUUAAAAAGUUAGACAAAAAGACCCCGUGCAACUUUGAAAAUUGACUUUAUUCAGGAGUAAAAGAUUUUUAGGUGGGGCGCCUAGAAAGUAAGCCUAACCUUUCUGAGUAACUAACUCUUUCCGGAUUUGACCCGAUUAUAUUCGAUCAUAGGAGAAGUUACGCCGGGGAUAACAGGCUAAUCCUUUAGUAGAGUUCGUAUUGGCUAAAGGGAUUGGCACCUCGAUGUUGAAUCAGGGAUGAUAGCUUCAAGGCGUAGAGGCUUUG
rnacentral:rRNA from 1 species